rnacentral:rRNA from 1 species
GAUGAACGCUAGCGAUAGGCUUAACACAUGCAAGUCGAGGGGCAGCGCGGGUAGCAAUACCUGUCGGCGACCGGCGCACGGGUGAGUAACGCGUAUGUAACCUGCCCGCAACAGGGGGAUAACCCGGCGAAAGUCGGACUAAUACCGCAUAAAACAGGGGUCCCGCAUGGGAAUAUUUGUUAAAGAUUUAUCGGUUGCGGAUGGGCAUGCGUACCAUUGGGUAGUUGGUGAGGUAACGGCUCACCAAGCCUUCGAUGGUUAGGGGUUCUGAGAGGAAGGUCCCCCACACUGGUACUGAGACACGGACCAGACUCCUACGGGAGGCAGCAGUGAGGAAUAUUGGUCAAUGGGCGAGAGCCUGAACCAGCCAAGUCGCGUGAAGGAUGACUGCCCUAUGGGUUGUAAACUUCUUUUACAAGGGAAUAAAAUGAGAUACGUGUAUGUUAUUGCAUGUACCUUGUGAAUAAGCAUCGGCUAACUCCGUG